ACGAACGCUGGCGGCGUGCCUAAUACAUGCAAGUUGAGCGCUGAAGGUUGGUACUUGUACCAACUGGAUGAGCAGCGAACGGGUGAGUAACGCGUGGGGAAUCUGCCUUUGAGCGGGGGACAACAUUUGGAAACGAAUGCUAAUACCGCAUAAAAACUUUAAACACAAGUUUUAAGUUUGAAAGAUGCAAUUGCAUCACUCAAAGAUGAUCCCGCGUUGUAUUAGCUAGUUGGUGAGGUAAAGGCUCACCAAGGCGAUGAUACAUAGCCGACCUGAGAGGGUGAUCGGCCACAUUGGGACUGAGACACGGCCCAAACUCCUACGGGAGGCAGCAGUAGGGAAUCUUCGGCAAUGGACGAAAGUCUGACCGAGCAACGCCGCGUGAGUGAAGAAGGUUUUCGGAUCGUAAAACUCUGUUGGUAGAGAAGAACGUUGGUGAGAGUGGAAAGCUCAUCAAGUGACGGUAACUACCCAGAAAGGGACGGCUAGCUACGUG
rnacentral:rRNA from 1 species